AACGCACAUUGCAUUCUUUGGUUUUCCAAAGAGUAUUCCUGUUUGAGUAUCUUAAGAAGGGAAGGCCCUUAGGGGCAAUUGUGAUUGUUUAUUUUAUUAUGAAUAUUCCAAUUGAAAUGAGUGUUUAUCAUCAAUUACAUAUUUUCACUCUCUCAUUUGAGUAUGAAUGUCAAUGUGUCUAUUUGAUGUCACUUUUAAUACAUUUAUGAUAUGGAAUGAUGGCUCUAUAAUCUAUGACUUUUUAAACAAAGGUUUCAGUUACAUUUAGCUUGACUUUCAUUCUUUUCUAAUGGAAAUGUUAAUUGUAUUAUAUUGACAUGACGUUAAUGAAAAAAAAAAGAUAUUUGAUCUCAAAUCAGGUAAGACUACCCGCUGAACUUAA
rnacentral:misc_RNA from 1 species